rnacentral:rRNA from 1 species
GAACUAUACUGGUGUUGUCCCACCCGAUUCCAUUUCGAACUCGGAAGUGAAAUGCACCAAGGCCGAUGAUAGUGGAUUUUCCGCGAAAGUAGGUAGUU